CAAAUGGUCCCAUCUCUGUUGUACAGCUUUGUGGUGCAGAUCUAAAGCAAUGAACUACCCAAACUGCAUUUUCUUCUGGUUUAAGAAAGUGAUAAGAAUCACCCUCCUGCUGCAAUGGACAGAUCAUAGAGCAGAGCCAGUGGAGAGCAGUGAUGGCCACAUUUAACAUAAGUGCUCCAAGCUGUUCUCUUGACAUAACUUCUCAUUGGUGAAAUUUGGAUGACCCAAAAGAGGCUCUGCUUUGUAUGCACCCUUGCAACCCCUCAAUCCUAUUACAGCAUUUCAGAAACAGUUGGGUAAGUCAUCACCCCUUUGCCAAACGACACAUCCCAUUGGUAUGUCUGUAGAAACAGAGUGGGACUUUAGGAGCAUGGUCUAUGAUGCACCGGACUGAGACUGGUUUACAGAACCAUAGACUUCUGCCAUAACCUUAAGCUAACAACUACCUAUUUCUUCCUAUUUACAAAUAAAUAAAUAAAUAAAUAAAUAAAUAAAUAAAAU
rnacentral:lncRNA from 1 species